rnacentral:tRNA from 1 species
CAAGAAAUAGUUUUAAACCUGAGAAUACUAGCUUUGGGAGUUAGUGGCGGGGGUUUGAAUCCCCCUUUUUUGA